AACGAACGCUGGCGGCAGGCCUAACACAUGCAAGUCGAACGCACCGCAAGGUGAGUGGCGCACGGGUGAGUAACACGUGGGAAUGUACCCUUUGGUUCGGAAUAACGUUUGGAAACGAACGCUAAUACCGGAUGAGCCCUGCGGGGGAAAGAUUUAUCGCCAAAGGAGCAGCCCGCGUCUGAUUAGGUAGUUGGUGGGGUAAAGGCCUACCAAGCCGACGAUCAGUAGCUGGUCUGAGAGGAUGAUCAGCCACACUGGGACUGAGACACGGCCCAGACUCCUACGGGAGGCAGCAGUGGGGAAUAUUGGACAAUGGGCGCAAGCCUGAUCCAGCCAUGCCGCGUGAGUGAUGAAGGCCUUCGGGUUGUAAAGCUCUUUCGCACACGACGAUGAUGACGGUAGUGUGAGAAGAAGCCCCGGCUAACUUCGUGCCAGCAGCCGCUGUAAUAC
rnacentral:rRNA from 1 species